AUUGAACGCUGGCGGCAGGCCUAACACAUGCAAGUCGAGCGGAUGAAGGGAGCUUGCUCCUGGAUUCAGCGGCGGACGGGCGAGUAAUGCCUAGGAACCUGCCUGGCAGUGGGGGAUAACGUCCGGAAACGGGCGCUAAUACCGCAUACGUCCUGAGGGAGAAAGUGGGGGAUCUUCGGACCUCACGCUAUCAGAUGAGCCUAGGUCGGAUUAGCUAGUUGGUGGGGUAAAGGCCUACCAAGGCGACGAUCCGUAACUGGUCUGAGAGGAUGAUCAGUCACACUGGAACUGAGACACGGUCCAGACUCCUACGGGAGGCAGCAGUGGGGAAUAUUGGACAAUGGGCGAAAGCCUGAUCCAGCCAUGCCGCGUGUGUGAAGAAGGUCUUCGGAUUGUAAAGCACUUUUAGUUGGGAGGAAGAGCAGUAAGUUAAUACCUUGCUGUUUUGACGGUACCAACAGAAUAAGCACCGGCUAACUUCGUG
rnacentral:rRNA from 1 species